rnacentral:rRNA from 1 species
AUUGAACGCUGGCGGCAUGCUUUACACAUGCAAGUCGAACGGCAGCGCGGGCUUCGGCCUGGCGGCGAGUGGCGAACGGGUGAGUAAUGCAUCGGAACGUGCCCAGUAGUGGGGGAUAGCCCGGCGAAAGCCGGAUUAAUACCGCAUACGACCUGAGGGUGAAAGCGGGGGACCGAAAGGCCUCGCGCUAUUGGAGCGGCCGAUGUCGGAUUAGCUAGUUGGUGGGGUAAAGGCUUACCAAGGCGACGAUCCGUAGCUGGUCUGAGAGGACGACCAGCCACACUGGGACUGAGACACGGCCCAGACUCCUAAGGGAGGCAGCAGUGGGGAAUUUUGGGCAAAGGGGGCAACCCUGAUCCAGCCAUGCCGCGUGCGGGAAGAAGGCCUUCGGGUUGUAAACCGCUUUUGUUCGGGAAGAAAUCCUCUGGGCUAAUACCCCGGGGGGAUGACGGUACCGGAAGAAUAAGCACCGGCUAACUACGUG